UAUCAAUAAGCGGAGGAAAAGAAACCAACAGGGAUUGCCUUAGUAACGGCGAGUGAAGCGGCAACAGCUCAAAUUUGAAAUCUGGCCCUUGGGUCCGAAUUGUAAUUUGUAGAGGAUGAUUUUGGUGCGGUAUCUUCCGAGUUCCUUGGAACAGGACGCCUUAGAGGGUGAGAGCCCCGUACGGUUGAAUGCCUAGCCUCUGUAAAUCUCCUUCGACGAGUCGAGUAGUUUGGGAAUGCUGCUCUAAAUGGGAGGUAAAUUUCUUCUAAAGCUAAAUAUUGGCCAGAGACCGAUAGCGCACAAGUAGAGUGAUCGAAAGAUGAAAAGCACUUUGAAAAGAGGGUUAAAUAGCACGUGAAAUUGUUGAAAGGGAAGGAUUUGUGACCAGACUUUUUCUGGGCGGAUCAUCCGGGGUUCUCUCCGGUGCACUUCGCCCAGUAAAGGCCAGCAUCGGUUUUCGGCGUGGGAUAAAAGCAGUAGGAAUGUGGCUCUCUACGGGGAGUGUUAUAGCCUAUUGUAUAAUACCGCGCUGGGGACCGAGGUUCGCGCUUCUGCAAGGAUGCUGGCGUAAUGGUUAUCAAUCACCCGUCUUGAAACACGGACCAAGGAGUCGAACAUUUGUGCGAGUGUUUGGGUGUUAAACCCUCACGCGUAAUGAAAGUGAACGGAGGUGAGAGCCCUUACGGGUGCAUCAUCGACCGAUCCUGAAGUUUUCGGAUGGAUUUGAGUAAGAGCAUAACUGUUCGGACCCGAAAGAUGGUGAACUAUGCGUGGAUAGGGUGAAGCCAGAGGAAACUCUGGUGGAGGCUCGCAGCGGUUCUGACGUGCAAAUCGAUCGUCAAAUCUGCGCAUGGGGGCGAAAGACUAAUCGAACCAUCUAGUAGCUGGUUACCGCCGAAGUU
rnacentral:rRNA from 1 species